AUGAGUGCUCCAGCCUACUCAGAUCUUCACCAGGAAAAUAUUUCCAUCCCAAAACACCAUUCUCUGCCCAUCAGUAAGAAGCAACACCUCGUCUAUUCAAGUUUUAUUAUGAGACUGCAGCAAUUCAGUCACAUCUUCAGGCUCCAUUUUGUUCUUCUCUUGGUAGUUCCACCGCAUCUGCACUUAUUUUCUCUACUCAACUCUUGAGCCUCUCAGAGUCAUCCAUGAGGGUUGGAAUCAACUUUUCCAAAUUCUUGUUAAUGUUGUUAUUGUGACCUGCUCCCAUGAAUCGCAGAUGUUCCUAAUGGCAUCUAAAAUGGUAAGUCCUUUCUAGAUGUUCUUCCAUUACUUUGACCACUUCCAUCAGAGGAAUGACUACCUACGGCAGCCAAAGCCUUAUGAAAUGUAUUUCUUAAGUAAUAGGACUUGACAGUUAAAAUUACUCUUUGAUCCAUGGAUUGCAGAAUGGAUGUUGUGUUGAUAGGCAUAAAAAAAUUAACAUCCUUGUUCAUGUCCAUCAAAGCUGUUUGGUGACUAGGUGCAUGUCAAUGACCAGUAAUAUUUUGAACAAAAUCCUCUUUUCUAAGCAAAAGAUCUCAACUGUGGGCUUAAAAAAUUCAGUAAACAAUGUUUUAAGAUGUACUGUCAUCCAGGCUUUGUUGUUCCGUUAAUAAAGAACAGGAAGAGUAGAUUUAGCAUCAUUCUUAAGAGCCCUAGGAUUUCCAGAAAGAUAAAUAAACAUUGAUUUCACCUUAAAGUCACCAGCUGCAUUAGCCCCCAGUAAAAGAGUCAACCUAUCCUUUGAAGCCAGGCCUCUUCUUCUCCUCUCUAGCUAUGAAAGUACUAGAGAGCAUUUUGUCCAAUAGAAGACUGUUCCAUUUAUACUGAAAAUCUGGUUAGGGUGGCCACCUCCAUUAAUGUUCUUAGCUACAUCUUCUGGAUAACUUGGAUAUCUUGCUGCAGCCUCUACAUCAGCACUUGCUGCGUCACCCUGCACUUUUAUGUUAGGGUGAUGACUUCUUCUCUUAAACCUCAUGAACUAACCUGUGCUAGCUUCCAACUUCUCUGCUGCAGCCUUCCCAUCUCUCUUAGGUUUCAUGGAAUUGAAGAGAGUUAGGGUCUUGGUAUGGGUUAAGAGAAUGUUGUAGCGGGUUUGAUG
rnacentral:lncRNA from 1 species